ACCUGGAAGCAAUUAAAAAAAAAAAUAGACAUUCCAGACCUGGCAGGUCCAGGGCACAUCUCCUUGUGCAAAGGUUUGCUUGCUCAAGCCCUGGCACAGGCCACUCAGGGCAGAGGAGGAGUCCCAUCCCUGGAGGGAUUUAAAAGACAUGUAGAUGUGUCACUUGGGGACCUGGUUUAGUGUGGGCUUGGCAGUGCUGGGGGGAUGGUUGGACUUGAUGAUCUUAGGUGGCUUUUCCAGCCUAUGGUUCUAAAUGAUUCUGUGAUUCUGCCUCCUCCUGAGGGGCAUUUUGAGCUCCCAGCUGGGCUCAGAGUGGGGCAGGUGCUGGUGAAGUACAUGGGAAAUGCUCCAUGGGGCUGAGACAUCUUUGGAGGGGCAAGGGGCAGCUGUGUGAUGGUAAGCACAGAGCACAGAUUAACAAAAAACUAUUACCAGGGUGAACAUCAGCCCCAGGACACCAAGGCAUCCCCAGACAGAGGGCUCCGCACAGCAGGAGAUGUUGGCACCCUCCCUGAUGGUAUCCAUGGUGAAAUCCAGCCCUGAUGAAAGCCAACCUCUCCUGUAGACCUUGAUCCUGCAAGAGGAACUACAGGGAUGGAUUUUCAGUCAGCCAGAACCAGCUGGAUUGAGGCCUUAUCUGAGAUAGCAAUAGAAUUAGCCAUGUGAUUUCUUUUCCAUGUUUACAGGGGCAAUAUUUUCCCAAAGUUCAAAGUCUUCCUCUGCAGGAAGCAUGUGAUAUGCUUUGCAGUCACACCAUAUUUUGGCGCUAUGAACAAUUAAAAAAAUCAAUUUCCGGAGCAAUAUUUUCUAUGUUUGUAAUCUCAGAACUAAUUACAGGGCUGGAAAAUCAAUAGCUAUCUGGAAAUCUUUCCAAUACAGCUAACUAAGCAUGCUACAUAUCAUGCUGGAAUAUAUUCUUCACAAACACAUGCUGCUCGUGACCAUCUCCCAGAUCACACAGGCAGAUGAUAUCACUGUUAAUAAGGCCCUGUGCUUCACUGCACUGCAAUGGCAGCAUUUACCAAAAUCUGCAGGGGGGAUUGGGCAGAGCAAAUAGCACAGUACAUGAGAGCUGGAGCAAUGCUUGUGCCAGCAUUUUAAGCCAACGACAAAAACAGUUGAAAGACUCAUUUAGUUCAACGGAAACCUACAAAAAAUUAUGAAAUAAAGUCAUUAAAAGUUCAUGCCUUAGUUAUAAUGUUGGUUUUUUUCAUCAUGCUGUAUUAAAAUAAAAAGUAAAACCUUUGGUGACUGAAAAUAACCUCUUUUUCUAGUUUCCUAGCAAGAGAGAAGUGGUGUUAAAUGGGUAGUUUGAUGGUGAUUAUACAUCAAAAACACACGUGAAGAGGAAGGGUGUUGCUCUGAUGGAUGGAUCUCCUCUUGCUGUGCAAACACACUCUGUUGACCAUGGCAGCUCAGUUGGAGCCAAAGCUCAAACCCUUGUGCUGAUGCUCUUCACUGCUUCCCACACACACUGCAGGCAUUGCUGGGAUCUUCUCCAAGAUGCUGCUGCCUCCCUCGUGCCCUGCAAGAGCUCAGCGUGCUCUUCCUUGGUAAGCUGGAGCUUGUGCUGCUGCUAAAUGAAGAGGAAACAUUCCCAUUGGACACAGUGCCAGCAGCACAGCAAGUGGAUAAGAAGCAGAGACCAGAGUACAGGGGAUUUUCCCCAGGCUCCCAUUUGCACUCCUGCUUGGUACAAGAAAGCAAUGAAUUCUGAGCUGUCACCAAGCCACAAAAUAUUUGCUCUGAUUUUAUAUGUUUUUCUCUGAUUAUUCUUCAUAGCUUUUCCCCCCCCAGUGAACUGACAUCUCUGCUCUUAUUCCCUCCGCAAGCAGGGAGAUUCCUGCAGUUCUCCAAGCUGAUGAUCCUCAUCCUGGAGUGGAACUUUGGGUCUAGCAGCCCAUGAGUUAAAGUGCAGCAUGUGCCUUGUCCCAGCCCUCAUCUCAGGAGACAGGCUGUGAUUUAUAGUCCCUCCUAAAUAAUUUGGCAGGCUGAAAUGACCUUGAUGGUGACGCAGAGCUGUGGGUGCCACGCAUUGCUCAGACUCUGCAGGACCAGACCUACAGCUGCUGCACUAAACUUCAAUGUCUUCUCUUCAGAUGAUGAUGUCUUUGGACUUUCCUAUUAUUCUUGCCAAUCUAAUGUCAUAUUUCCCUCAAAUAAAACUCGGUGUGUGAGAACUCA